rnacentral:sRNA from 1 species
UUGCGUUAGGGAUUGCAGCGGCAUCCUUUUUUGAUUUUUCUUCAAAAAAGAUAUAGCGAAAAGCCCGACCCCUU